UCUUGUCUUCCCCUGUGUGCUUGGUCGGUUCAUUGUUGGUUUUUCCUGUCUCCCUCCAUGUCAAUCACGCUUCAACAGUCAGCGAACCAAAUGGAGGACAGAGAUUCAGAAUGUCCUCACCCAAAUCAAGGAGGAAUCCUCCAACCAAGAUCUCUCUGCAAUUCUGGUCAUGAUGGCACAUUUCAAGGAAAAAGAAGAGGUUAUUUUCCUUUUGGCUGAUGACUGCAACCAAGGAUGAAAUUGAGGCUCAACUGACCCUACCAGGCACACCAAGGCUCAUCAUGUUAGGGGACCCUUUUACUUUCACAUAAUUACAGAAGAUGUACUGUUGUGAUCUGAUGUUGUGACCUCACUACUUGUGAUUUUGUAUUUUAAUUGGUCUGUUGUAUUUUAAUCUGUCAUAAACUGUUGUAUUUUAA